CUUUAUGGCGAGCUGUGCGCGGGACACCUGUGAUGGGUGUGCCGGGUUCCUGUUUCCCCGGUUGUCCAACCUGCGUAUGGCUCGCCACCCUU
rnacentral:antisense_RNA from 1 species